GCAGCUGGUGGAGCUGGUGCAGGAGCAGCUGGUGCUGGGGCUGCAGGAGCCGCUGGUGCCGCUGGUGCAGGAGCAGCUGGUGGAGCCGGUGCAGCAGCAGCUGGUGGAGCUGGUGCAGCCGCGGCUGGUGGAGCCGGUGCAGCCGGUGCAGCCGGUGCAGC